rnacentral:rRNA from 1 species
GUCCUUGCCGUAAACGAUGUAUACUUGGUGUAGCUGGACUCAACCCUAGCUGUGCCGGAGCUAACGCGUUAAGUAUACCGCCUGGGGAGUACGCUCGCAAGGGUGAAACUCAAAAGAAUUGACGGGGACCCGCACAAGCAGUGGAGCAUGUGGUUUAAUUCGAUGCAACGCGAAGAACCUUACCUAGGCUUGACAUGCAGUGGACGUAAUCAGAGAUGAUUAUUCCCUUCGGGGCCACUGUGCAGGUGCUGCAUGGCU